rnacentral:rRNA from 1 species
GACGAACGCUGGCGGCGUGCCUAAUACAUGCAAGUCGAACGCACUCUCGUUUAGAUUGAAGGAGCUUGCUCCUGAUUGAUAAACAUUUGAGUGAGUGGCGGACGGGUGAGUAACACGUGGGUAACCUGCCCUAAAGUGGGGGAUAACAUUUGGAAACAGAUGCUAAUACCGCAUAAAACCUAACACCGCAUGGUGUAGGGUUGAAAGAUGGUUUCGGCUAUCACUUUAGGAUGGACCCGCGGUGCAUUAGUUAGUUGGUGAGGUAAAGGGCUCACCAAGACCGUGAUGCAUAGCGACCUGAGAGGGUAAUCGGCCACAACUGGGUCUGAGACACGGCCCAGACUCCUACGGGAGCAGCAGUAGGGAAUCUUCCACAA